GGCUAUAAAUUGCCAGGCAAUUCAGGCGUCCGGUGUGCUGCUCCAGACCUCUGCCUUGGAGCUGCUCCCAGGAGCCUCCUGCUUGCUGUGCAGCAGGUCAGGGGGAAGAGUGGUGCUGAGGGGUAACUCCUACCAGCCAAAAACCAACACUGAAGCCAGACAGCUUGCUACUGAUGGCCCAUCAAAGGCAAUUGGCUCUCUCAAUGGGCCACAGAAGAAACUCAUCCCUCCCAUUAAAUCUUCCUGUGGAUGCCUUAGCCUCCACGUGGGCAAUGGCUGCUCCUGUGAGUCAAAGCCAUGUAAGGGCAUGUGACCCUGGACUCCAGCUUGUGCCUGUAAUUUUCCACACGCUUACAUUGUGAGCUUGGUUUGGGACAGUAAAAAUCCAUCCACAUGGGAAAGGGUAUAAAAGACUCUAGAAACAUCUCCAUUUUGUCAUCAUUUCCCUUUUCAUUUCUCUGGACUGGAUUUUUAACAAGGAAGCUCUGAACAAGGACUGGUGACCCCGCAAGCUGUUUGGAUAAUUUCCAGAAAGACUUUUGCAAACUAGCAGCUUCUUCAAUCACUGCUUCAAACUUGAUAUAAGAACUUUGCAGUCACUUGUAUGUACAGGAUUUCCUGAACUAUGUUAACUCUCUACUUCUUUUCUCUUAAAAUUAGACCUUUAGAUUUUAGUUAGUAAAGGGUUGGCAACAGCAUGAUUAUUGGGUAAGAGCUGAGUUAUAUAUUGACCUGGUUGUGUGGCUGAUCUCUUGAGACCAGAAGAAGCCUUUGUUCGAUAAAACUGGUUUUCAAUAAUCA